GGACCUGACUGCUAUCGGAUUGGUACUAAGCCAUGCGAGUCAUUGUAGUAAUACAAGGCAGACGGCUCAGUAGCGCGUAGUCAACCUAACCUAUGGACGGGAAUAACCUCGGGAAACUGAGUAUAAUGCCCGAUAGAACAUUAUGCCUGGAAUGGUUUAUGUUCCAAAUGAUAUUUCGCCGUAGGGAUGGGACUGCGGCCUAUCAGUUUGUUGGUGAGGUAAUGGCCCACCAAGACUAUUACAGGUACGGGCUCUGAGAGGAGUAGCCCGGAGAUGGGUACUGAGACACGGACCCAGGCCCUAUGGGGCGGCAGCCGGCGAGAAAACUUUGCAAUGUGCGAAAGCACGACAAGGUUAAUCCGAGUGGUUUCUGCUAAAGGAACCUUUUGUCGGUCCUAGAAACACCGAUGAAUAAGGGGUGGGCAAGUUCUGGUGU
rnacentral:rRNA from 1 species